AAGAGGUUCUUCGAUUUGCUAGUUCAGGGUAUUGGGAAGAAGAGAGGCUUUGAGGCCGAUCUCAGCGACUAUCGCAGCAACCAGCGGAGGCCGCCGUUCGCGAACACGGAGGAGAGAGAGAAGCGGAAGCUGGUUACGGCUAAAGAGAAGGAGGUGUGAGGAGGACGAUGUUGUGAUAGAGGGGUGUGAGGUGAGGACGAGGGAGAAUACUGGGUUAUUGAGCGUUUCGGUAAUUGUUUAUUGUGAUGACCUGUACUAAGCAAACUACUUGUAAGUCAACUUGAGGAAAGGCUUCAAGGAAGCAGCUCGCCACCAAGAGAGUCAGAGCCAAGUAGCUGCACAUUGAUAUUAUAAUGCAGCAGCGAACAAACGGGAUUAAAUAUGGAACUAUGGAAGUAGGGAAAGACAUGUAGGCCUUGGGAGUCAUAAAUUGUUUCUAUUGAUAGACCAAAACAAUCAGGAAGUUGCCAUUCUAGAGGCUUAUUCGUGAAAUUGACCAGGACUUCAAGGUAUAUAUACAUACAAUCUAUUGAUGACUCUUCAACUCAAUACAAACAUAAGCCAAAGAGGGCUCAUACAAUAUUUUAAUCGGCUCAAUGUCGAUAUUGGACGGUUGAAAUGUUCAUUGGACUUUGUUGUAUCACAGGUCUUGUGCAGC